rnacentral:lncRNA from 1 species
AGAUAUGGCCCAGUGACUUUCAGGGACGUCUCUAUACUGUACUCUGUUUACACCCAUUACAGCAUUGAGCAAUAUCACCACGUUCUUAAUUUUUAAGAAUGGAAAAUGAAAAGAACAUUUACUGAAGAAAUUGGAGGCCAGGGAGCUGAAUUGAUGUGUGUCACAUCCAGGAAGAGCCAUUUAAUUGCUUAUGUGAGACUCUAGCAAUCUCUUGGAAAUUGUAGAGGAAGAUCAUGUUACAAGGGAGUUGCCACAAGAUUGAAGCAUUCUUGAUUUCUAGGUCACCAAAUGGAAACAAGUUGUCCUGGAUAGUCACUGCGAUUCACAGUAAACUUUCU